AGUCGAACGGAGCCUUAACCAAAGAAGCAGCCAGCUUGCUGGAAGCCGAAAAGGGAAAGGCUUAGUGGCGGACGGGUGAGUAACGCGUGGGUAACCUGGCCCAUACAGGGGGAUAACACUUAGAAAUAGGUGCUAAUACCGCAUAACAACAGAAAGCGCAUGCUUUUUGUUUGAAAACCAAGGUGGUAUGGGAUGGACCCGCGUCUGAUUAGCUGGUUGGCGGGGUAAAGGCCCACCAAGGCGACGAUCAGUAGCCGGCCUGAGAGGGUGGACGGCCACAUUGGGACUGAGACACGGCCCAAACUCCUACGGGAGGCAGCAGUGGGGAAUAUUGCACAAUGGGGGAAACCCUGAUGCAGCGACGCCGCGUGAGUGAAGAAGUAAUUCGUUAUGUAAAGCUCUAUCAGCAGGGAAGAAAAUGACGGUACCUGAGUAAGAAGCCCCGGCUAACUACGUGCCAGCAGCCGCGGUAAUACGUAGGGGGCAAGCGUUAUCCGGAUUUACUGGGUGUAAAGGGAGCGUAGACGGCAGUGCAAGUCUGGAGUGAAAGGCGGGGGCUCAACCCCCGGACUGCUCUGGAAACUGUACGGCUGGAGUGCAGGAGAGGUAAGUGGAAUUCCUAGUGUAGCGGUGAAAUGCGUAGAUAUUAGGAGGAACACCAGUGGCGAAGGCGGCUUACUGGACUGUAACUGACGUUGAGGCUCGAAAGCGUGGGGAGCAAACAGGAUUAGAUACCCUGGUAGU
rnacentral:rRNA from 1 species